UCCACUGAUGUCAUCAGCAUUCCUGUGGCUGACAUGACUAAUUCAUAGCUGGAGUGGUGAAGGCUGAAUUUCUGUCUGCGACUGAUUAAAAUGCCUGAGUUAAAACUGUUGCAAGAAAAGAAAAGCUGUAAUGGAAACAGUGCCAUGACUACAGAUGAUAAUGAGAAAGAGAAUAAGUUGUGGUCCUGCACUGAAUGAAACGUGCAGAAUUUUCAACCAAAAAAAAUCACCUCCAGCUUUGACAGAGGGGAAAUAUGGCUCCG
rnacentral:lncRNA from 1 species